UGACAUAAGCUUAAGUGAGCAAAAGGCAAUAUGAAUAAAUGAGCAAUAAAUUAGAUUGCAUUAAAGUAAAUUGCAAGAAUUAAAUGCUUGAAUUAAAGUUAGUGUUAGUAGUUAGUUUUGUGUGCCAUAAGGCAAUUUAGCGCUAUGUUAAGCAAUCGUAAGUGGACUAAUGUAGUAGUCACACCUAUCUGAGGCCGGUCA
rnacentral:lncRNA from 1 species